rnacentral:tRNA from 1 species
UACCCCUUAGUGUAACGGUAACAUUACAGAUUCUGACUCUGUCGUUCAUGGUUCGAAUCCAUGAGGGGUAG